AGUGAACGCUGGCGGCGUGCCUAAUACAUGCAAGUCGAACGGAGUGGCGCACGGGUGAGUAAUAUAUAGCUAAUCUGCCCCUUGCUGGAGGACAACAGUUAGAAAUGACUGCUAAUACUCCAUAGCAAGGGAUGAGACUAUAUCGUAUCAGCUAGUCGGUGGGGUAACGGCCUACCGAGGCUAUGACGCGUAACUGGUCUGAGAGGAUGAUCAGUCGAAUUGGAACGGAGACACGGUCCACACUCCUACGGGAGGCCGCAGUAGGGAAGAUUGCGCAAUGGGGGAAACCCUGACACAGCAUCGCCUCGUGGAGGAUGACACGUUUGGAAGAGUAAGCUCCUUUUGAUAGGGAAGCGGUACCUAACGAAUAAGCACCGGCUAACUCCGUGCCAGCAGCCGCGGUAAUAC
rnacentral:rRNA from 1 species